GGUUCAUUCAAAUUUCUUCCCUAUCAACUUUCGAUGUUUGGGUAUUGGCCAAACAUGGUUGCAACGGGUAAUGGAGGGUUAGGGCUCGACCCCGGAGAAGGAGCCUGAGAAACGGCUACUACAUACAAGGAAGGCAGCAGGCGCGCAAAUUACCCAAUCCCAAUCGGGGAGGUAGUGACAAUAAAUACUGAUACAGGGCCCUUUCGGGUCUUGUAAUCGGAAUGAGUACAAUUUAAAUCUCUUAACGAGGAACAAUUGGAGGGCAAGUCUGGUGCCAGCAGCCGCGGUAAUUCCAGCUCCAAUAGCGUAUAUUAAAGUUGUUGUGGUUAAAAAGCUCGUAGUUG
rnacentral:rRNA from 1 species